rnacentral:rRNA from 1 species
CUCUUUGAGACCGAAGUGAUUGAUACCCUGCUUCCAGGAAAAGCCACUAAGCUUCAGUCUAGAAUUGACCGUACCGCAAACCGACACAGGUGGGCAGGUAGAAGAUACUAAGGCGCUUGAGAGAACUCAGGAGAAGGAACUCGGCAAAUUGAUACCGUAACUUCGGGAGAAGGUAUGCCCCUGUAGCUUGUAGGAGAACAUCCGAAGGGCGACGGGGCCGCAGUGAAUCGGUGCUGCGACUGUUUAUUAAAAACACAGCACUCUGCAAACACGAAAGUGGACGUAUAGGGUGUGACGCCUGCCCGGUGCCGGAAGGUUAAGUGAUGGGGUGCAAGCUCUUGAUCGAAGCCCCGGUAAACGGCGGCCGUAACAAUAACGGUCCUAAGGUAGCGAAAUUCCUUGUCGGGUAAGUUCCGACCUGCACGAAUGGCGUAACGAUGGCCACACUGUCUCCUCCUGAGACUCAGCGAAGUUGAAGUGUUUGUGAAGAUGCAAUCUCCCCGCGGCUAGACGGAAAGACCCCAUGAACCUUUACUGUAGCUUUGCAUUGGACUUUGACGGGACUUGUGUAGGAUAGGUGGGAGGCGCUGAGACCAGGACGCUAGUUCUGGUGGAGCCGUCUUUGAAAUACCACCCUGGUGUUGUUGAGGUUCUAACCUAGGUCCAUCAUCUGGAUCGGGGACCGUGCAUGGUAGGCAGUUUGACUGGGGCGGUCUCCUCCCAAAAGGUAACGGAGGAGUACGAAGGUCUUCUAGGUACGGUCGGACAUCGUACUGAUAGUGCAAUGGCAAAAGAAGGCUUGACUGCGAGACCGACAAGUCGAGCAGGUGCGAAAGCAGGUCAUAGUGAUCCGGUGGUUCUGUAUGGAAGGGCCAUCGCUCAACGGAUAAAAGGUACUCUGGGGAUAACAGGCUGAUUCCGCCCAAGAGUUCACAUCGACGGCGGAGUUUGGCACCUCGAUGUCGGCUCAUCACAUCCUGGGGCUGUAGCCGGUCCCAAGGGUAUGGCUGUUCGCCAUUUAAAGUGGUACGUGAGCUGGGUUUAAAACGUCGUGAGACAGUUUGGUCCCUAUCUGCCGUGGGCGCUGGAUAUUUGAGGGGGCCUGCUCCUAGUACGAGAGGACCGGAGUGGACGGAUCUCUGGUGUACCGGUUGUGACGCCAGUCGCAUCGCCGGGUAGCUAAAUCCGGAAGAGAUAACCGCUGAAAGCAUCUAAGCGGGAAACUCGCCUCGAGAUGAGAUAUCCCUGGGAACUUGAUUCCCCUGAAGGGUCGUCGAAGACCACGACGUUGAUAGGUCGGGUGUGGAAGCG